rnacentral:piRNA from 1 species
AGAAAGGAAAACAGACACUCUGAAGG